GGCCGCCGCGCGCCGGACUGGGCCCACGGGGGUUCAGAGGCCUGGGGAUGCCGUCUCAAGGCUGCGGCGGCGACGAGCUCCGAGCGGGACACUGAACGGCCCGUAUGCGCAAGAUAAGCACGGACUGAACCAGGUACACGCACCUGCCGGGGACGCACUGACCGAGGUGCGGACGGCGGUACCAGGACAGGUAAAGCCGCGAACACUCGGACCUAAGAACUUGACAGGUACACCCUGCCUGAUGAAGCUACCUACGGCCAGGUGCGCAUCGAGUGAAUCAGAAAUGAAGUUUCGCCAUGUUGCCCAGGCUGGUCUGAAGCUCUUGGGCUCAAGCAAUCCACCUGCCUCGGCCUCCCAAAGUGCUGGGAUUACAGGAUGAGAACCUACUUCUUCAUAAAGAGAAUUUGGAGGGAGCUUUUUGUUCUGAGGGGACAACAUCUGGAUUUGAAUACAUCCAUGCUCAAAAGGAGAUUUCUCAUAAUGGACCCAACUGAAAGCACUCAGAGUACAAGGACCGGUGAGCUUUCAAAAGGAGACACUUCGGGAGACUCACCAGGGGCCCUCGUAUCCCCGGCAGCGCGAGUUUUGGAGGUCAGUGGAGGGCUCUCUCAUCAUGCAUGUAACUUUCAUACUCAAAGACUUAUCUGCAUCCUCCAUCCCUCACCCCCCUGCAGAAACUUGGGGCUUGAAUUCAUUUAAAAACAUUUGUGGUUUCAGAAGCCUCCUUUUUAUUAUGAAGCUGCCAAGGAGAUCUUAGAAUGAAAGGCAUUUUUAGAGAUGAGAAAGAAGGAAGCCAGGCCAAGGCCGGCCCGGCUGUCAGCCCUGGGUCUGUAAAGGUGACACGUGGGACACGGCCACCUGCAGACCCUGCAGGCGGCUGGGUGGAGACAACCACAGGGACCUGGGUUUGAAUCCCUGGUCUGCCAGUCAUUUCCACGGCGAUCUUGGGGGAAGUUGUGUAACCUCUGCGCCCUGCGACGCCCUUUCCUGGAGCCUAGAGCUGGAACGAAGCCCCUUGAGCCCUGACAUCAGAGGUGACGCUAGUCUUCGCAGGCAAUGACUCGGCGGAAUGUGAUGCCACUCCCUAACCCGCGUCCGGGCUGGCAGGGUGUGUGCCGCCUCCCACCAGGUGGUCUGACUGCUUUGAUGGAUCUCCUAACUUCUCUGCACCCCAGAGCCCUCAGUGCUGGCCAGACCUUCACUCACUCCUGGGUGACAACCCCGUUCUCAGAUAGCGGGUCCCACAGGCUGGCCUAUGGCGCCCCCUGCUGGUGACUGCAGGGAGAAGGGUGCCCUAAGCCAAAGGAAGUCCUUCCUGGGGUCUAAUCUCUACCUUUUGCUUGAUGAGGCAGCUGAGGUGGCUCGCUUUCUCCUCCACCCCAGAAAAUAAAGUCAUAUGGAGUCCAA
rnacentral:antisense_RNA from 1 species